GCCCCCCCCCCGGGGCCGCAGCUCUCGGGAUGCACGCUGCCGGCUGUGGGGCGCGCGGGCCGGGGGGGGGGGGUGUGUGCCCGUCCCGUGCAACAGAAUAAAGGCUCUUGUAUUUGGGGGGGGCUCUUGUAUUUGUGCAGGGAAUGCACAGGGAUGCGUGCACAGGGAUGCAGGUGGUGCUGCAAGGGAUGCACAGGGAUGCAGGGGAUGCUGCAGGGGAUGCACAGGGAUGGAUGCACAGGGAUGCACAGGUGAUGUCCUAUGGGAGAUGCACAGGGAUGCAGGGGGAUGCAGGGAUGCUGCAGGGGAUGCACAGGGAUGCAGGUGAUGCUGCAGGGGAUGCACAGGGAUGCAGGUGAUGCUGCAGGGGAUGCACAGGGAUGCAGGUGGUGCUGUGGGGGACGUGCACAGGGAUGCAGGGGAUGCACAGGGAUGGAUGCACAGGGAUGCACAGGUGAUGUCCUAUGGGAGAUGCACAGGGAUGCAGGGAUGCUGCAGGGGAUGCACAGGGAUGCCGGUGCUGCACACGGGGUUAUGCACAAGGAUGCACGGCGAUGCACAGGUGCUGUUACACGGGAGACGCACGGGGAUGCAGAGGGGCGGCAGAUGGAGCAGCGCAGCAG
rnacentral:lncRNA from 1 species